UGUGUUCAGUGACGCUGAAGCCAGUGCAAGCAAAUCUGAUGACUGCAGCACAGCAGUCACAGCAACAGAAUGUGGAUCUGUGCAGCCUAUGGAUGCUGAUGCUACAAUCAAAGAGCAAGUUCAUGACAUGGAAGAUUUUGGGUCUGUACUGUCAGUGUCAUCUACAGUAACUAAGACUGCUCCUCCCUCUGAAGGACAAGAUGCUUGUGAAGACCAGCAUAGAAGAGUGCCAAAGAAAGUGUGGUUGAAGGCUGAGGUUGCUGCAGUAUUGUGACAUUUCAGAGAUCACAUUCAAAAAGGAAAACUGGCCACCAAAAAUGAAUGUAGUCAAUGCAAGCUGGUAGAAGGCCCUGUGCUAGCUCAAAGAACAGUGCAAAAUAUAAGGGACUUUGUUAGAAACUGAGGAAUAGCUGCAAAGAGGCAGUCAGAGAAAAAAAAGCUUUAAAUUCGCUGUCAGCCUUUUGUGUUAUUCUUAACACUUGGAGAUAGAUUAGUCCAAACCAACUGUAUGGAGCCAUUUUAAGUUGUUAUUUUGUUUUGUCAUGUUACAAAGUCUUAUGUUUGUAUAGCAGAAUGCUGCUCAGUUUUGCUGUGAAGCAGCAGAAAUGUAAAGUCAUCCUUAAA